rnacentral:rRNA from 1 species
AGUGAACGCUGGCGGUAGGCCUAACACAUGCAAGUCGAACGGCAGCACAGUAAGAGCUUGCUCUUACGGGUGGCGAGUGGCGGACGGGUGAGGAAUACAUCGGAAUCUACUUUUUCGUGGGGGAUAACGUAGGGAAACUUACGCUAAUACCGCAUACGACCUACGGGUGAAAGCAGGGGAUCUUCGGACCUUGCGCGAUUGAAUGAGCCGAUGUCGGAUUAGCUAGGUGGCGGGGCAAAGGCCCACCAAGGCGACGAUCCGUAACUGGUCUGAGAGGAUGGACCGCCACACUGGAACUGAGACACGGUCCACACUCCUACGGGAGGACGCGGUGGGGAAUAUUGGAGAAUGGAGGAGAGCCUGAUCCAGCAAUACCGCGUGGGUGAAGAAGGACUUAGGGUUGUAAAGCCCUUUUGUUGGGAAAGAAAAGCAGCAGGUUAAUACCCCGCUGUUCUGACGGUACCCAAAGAAUAAGCACCGGCUAACUUCGUG